rnacentral:rRNA from 1 species
AACGAACGCUGGCGGCGUGGAUAAGACAUGCAAGUCGAACGAGAGAAUUGCUAGCUUGCUAAUAAUUCUCUAGUGGCGCACGGGUGAGUAACACGUGAGUAACCUGCCCCCGAGAGCGGGAUAGCCCUGGGAAACUGGGAUUAAUACCGCAUAGUAUCGAAAGAUUAAAGCAGCAAUGCGCUUGGGGAUGGGCUCGCGGCCUAUUAGUUAGUUGGUGAGGUAACGGCUCACCAAGGCGAUGACGGGUAGCCGGUCUGAGAGGAUGUCCGGCCACACUGGAACUGAGACACGGUCCAGACACCUACGGGUGGCAGCAGUCGAGAAUCAUUCACAAUGGGGGAAACCCUGAUGGUGCGACGCCGCGUGGGGGAAUGAAGGUCUUCGGAUUGUAAACCCCUGUCAUGUGGGAGCAAAUUAAAAAGAUAGUACCACAAGAGGAAGAGACGGCUAACUCUGUGCCAGCAGCCGCGGUAAUACAGAGGUCUCAAGCGUUGUUCGGAAUCACUGGGCGUAAAGCGUGCGUAGGCUGUUUCGUAAGUCGUGUGUGAAAGGCGCGGGCUCAACCCGCGGACGGCACAUGAUACUGCGAGACUAGAGUAAUGGAGGGGGAACCGGAAUUCUCGGUGUAGCAGUGAAAUGCGUAGAUAUCGAGAGGAACACUCGUGGCGAAGGCGGGUUCCUGGACAUUAACUGACGCUGAGGCACGAAGGCCAGGGGAGCGAAAGGGAUUAGAUACCCCUGUAGUCCUGGCAGUAAACGGUGCACGCUUGGUGUGCGGGGAAUCGACCCCCUGCGUGCCGGAGCUAACGCGUUAAGCGUGCCGCCUGGGGAGUACGGUCGCAAGAUUAAAACUCAAAGAAAUUGACGGGGACCCGCACAAGCGGUGGAGUAUGUGGCUUAAUUCGAUGCAACGCGAAGAACCUUACCUGGGCUUGACAUGUAAUGAACAACAUGUGAAAGCAUGCGACUCUUCGGAGGCGUUACACAGGUGCUGCAUGGCCGUCGUCAGCUCGUGUCGUGAGAUGUUUGGUUAAGUCCAGCAACGAGCGCAACCCCUGUUGCCAGUUACCAGCACGUGAAGGUGGGGACUCUGGCGAGACUGCCCAGAUCAACUGGGAGGAAGGUGGGGAGGACGUCAGGUCAGUAUGGCCCUUAUGCCCAGGGCUGCACACGUACUACAAUGCCCAGUACAGAGGGGGCGGAAGCCGCGAGGCGGAGGAAAUCCUGAAAACUGGGCCCAGUUCGGACUGUAGGCUGCAACCCGCCUACACGAAGCCGGAAUCGCUAGUAAUGGCGCAUCAGCUACGGCGCCGUGAAUAAGUUCCCGGGUCUUGUAC